rnacentral:rRNA from 1 species
AUGGAGAGGAGAGGGGAGGCGGAGAAGGAAGUGGGUCAGGGUUCAGGUUUUGUACCAGCGACCAUGGGGAGGGGUUCUUCUGAUUGGGCUCCUUCGCCUGAGGGUGAGGGGAUGAAGGUGGCAAGGCGGCCUCGCGGGGAUGGCUCCACGCUGAUCAUCGACAUGAAGGCCGCGAGGAGGGCUAUUAGUGGCUACCUGGUGGUAGGGCGAUUUCUAUCGCCCUUCCAAGUACAUCCAUACAUCCUCGCCGAUGACCUCCGUGCUACGUCGGCAUGGAGGCUGCAAGGCAAGGUCACCGUUCAGGAGGUGGACAGCGACGACGAGAGGUUCAUCCUCAACUUCUCCGCCGAUGUGGACAGACGCUUCAUGCUGAAGGCCCAGCCUUGGCACCAUAAGUGCGACGGGAUCAUUUUUGCUGAGUUUGAUGACAAGGGUAACCUGACGGAGGUGGAUCUUGGUGCCAUGGCUAUAUGGGCCCAGGUUCGUGACCUACCAUUUGAGCUUAAAACAGAAGAGGUGGGUUUGUCUCUAGGGGACCAACUCGGUAAAGUGAUAACAGUCUCCCAUCAGAAUCACCUGAUCGUAGAGAAGUAUUUGCGUAUUCGCGUAAAAAUCCCGCUGCAUGAGCCAAUCAAAAAUAGGGUAGAGUUCACUCCCUUAGGCAGCAAGAAAGCACUCCAAUUUGAUGUUCAUUAUGAAAAGUUGUCGUCGUAUUGUGAGUGUUGUGGACUUGUAGGACAUAUGUCAGAAAGGUUUUGUAGGAUUCCUAAAGAGAGUAGAGUACCUGCUUUUCAAAAAAAUCUCAGUGUAGAGGCCUACUAG